UACGUAGGUGGCAAGCGUUGUCUGGAUUUACUGGGCGUAAAGAGCGCGCAGGCGGUCGUAUAAGUCGAAUGUGAAAGCCCCCGGCUCAACUGGGGAGGGUCACGCGAUACUGCUCGACUCGAAGGCAGGAGAGGGAAGUGGAAUUCCCGGUGUAGUGGUGAAAUGCGUAGAUAUCGGGAGGAACACCUGUGGCGAAAGCGGCGCACUGGACCAUAACUGACGCUGAGGCGCGAAAGCUAGGGGAGCAAACAGG
rnacentral:rRNA from 1 species